rnacentral:rRNA from 1 species
GACGAACGCUGGCGGCAUGCCUAGUACAUGCAAGUCGAGCGCGAGAGGGAGGAGCUUGCUCCUCAUGAGCGAGCGGCGGACGGGUGAGUAACACGUAGGCAACCUACCCUUGAGAUUGGGAUAACUACCGGAAACGGUAGCUAAUACCGGAUACGACUUUUCCACAUAAGUGGAAUGGUUAAAAGGCGGAUUUAUCUGCCGCUCAUGGAUGGGCCUGCGGUGCAUUAGCGAGUUGGUGAGGUAGUGGCUCACCAAGGCGAGGAUGCAUAGCCGGCCUGAGAGGGUGAUCGGCCACACUGGGACUGAGACACGGCCCAGACUCCUACGGGAGGCAGCAGUAGGGAAUCUUCCGCAAUGGACGAAAGUCUGACGGAGCAACGCCGCGUGAGUGAUGAAGGGUUUCGGCUCGUAAAACUCUGUUGUUAAGGAAGAACACUUGAGGUAGUAACUGGCCUUGAGAUGACGGUACUUAACCAGAAAGCCACGGCUAACUACGUGCCAGCCGCCGCCGUAA